GUUUCCAUGCAUUGGAUCACUGACCCAAGUCACAAUCUGUCCAGCACGCCUCACAGCUCUGAUCAAAUGAGGAAGCUUCACUCUCAUAUUCUCUGCUCCCAUUCUUGUGAUAAUCGUGAUCCUUCCAGGCUUAUUAUCAGCAUUCAAGAUCUCAAUCAGCUUCACCAGCUCCUUCGGAUCCAUCUUAUCACUCACCUUGAUUCCAAGAGGAUUAGCAACACCUCUUAAGAACUCGACAUGGGCUCCAUCGAGCUGUCUGGUUCGCUCACCGACCCAGAUCAUAUGAGCAGAGCAGUCGUAGUAGAGGCCAGAAGUAGA
rnacentral:lncRNA from 1 species